rnacentral:snRNA from 1 species
AUCAAAAUGCAUCUAUGGUCUG